rfam:Homo sapiens chromosome 3, GRCh38 reference primary assembly.
GCCAGGCGUGGGGGCGCAUGCCUGUAAUCCCAGCUACUUGGGAGGCUGAGGCAGGAGAAUCUCUUGAACCUGGGAGGCUGAGGUUUCAGUGAGCCAAGAUGGCGCCACUGCACUCCAGCCUGGGUGACAAAGCAAGACUCUGUCUCAA